CUCUCCUCCCUCCCCUCCGUUAAGGGGGACUUUAUUUCCUUCGCUGCAUGUUUCACGCAGCGUGGGAGGCACGUUUCAGCUACCAAAUGGCUCUCUGGAUGCGGAGUCUCCUGGGCUGGUUCCAGCCGCCUACGUCUUCUUCCUGCUAGCAGAGCAGUCGCGACGCCUGUUUUGCCGUGUUUUUGUCCCUCAGGGAGCGACGAAAUGAACUUUGCGAAGGUAUGGCUACUAAUUUUGUACUUAAUACAGCAGAAGCACUUCAAUAGGAAACUGGCCAGAGCUGCAAACACAGGCCUGAGCGCUCUCCUGGAAUGCACUAGGAGCAACAAUCACCAAAAAUCCUGAUUUGAGGAAACUUCAACGUGGGAGAUGAGAAAGGCCUCAGGAGACAAAGCCAAAGGACUGGAGCCAAUCUAAGGCCCGCACCUCUCCUGCCAGAAGCCCUGCUGUGCAUGGCAAUGAGGGAAGACCACGGAUAAGAGCCUGUGGGAAAAUAGCUGAACCAUUUGUGGCCUGCACAAAAGCAGAUGCUGAAGAACCACUGACAUGGACUUCAGAUUUGGAGAAAGCUUUCAUAAUCCUGUAGAAAGUUUUGAUGUCAGCACCCACACUCAAGAUGCCAAAUUACAUUUUCAGAGACUCCACAAGUACGAACUGCUGUUGAUGACAGCAGAUAACAUCCUCUUGAGAAGAUGCAAAUCCUUGAACCUAGCAACCUUGUUACCAUUGGUGGAUGAAGGGGAACCACAUCAUGGCUGCAUAGAGGUAACCCAGAAUCAAGAAAAGAUGACCUUUUCUUCAUCUGUAGGACCAAGGACAGCUGUGGAAACAGAGGUUUCAUGACCUCUAGUGGCAGCUGGACAGUAAAUGCUCAACAGAUUGAGAAUUUGUUAGCAGCUGUUAACCUUCCAGAAGAGAUCAGUGUGAUGCAUCAGACAACCCACACUAAAGAAAAGACUGAUUUAUAAAAAGUAGGCACCUAUGCAAACACUAGAGCCAAAGCAACAGCAAGACAGCCUUUGGGAAAAAAAAAUCACAUAUUAUCACUAACAACUCAGGAGACUCUUCCUAAUUUGCUAAUUUUAUAUGAACAAAUAGAAAAAGAAGAAAUAGAAGAAUGGAAAAGACUGGGUGCACAGAUAGAUAAAAGAAAGAGAAGUGAAUCAAGCUUACCAAUUUUGCCCAAAAGGAACUUGAUUACAAUGGCAAAAAUCUAUCACCAACUAAAUCAUUUUGGACAUACAGCAUUGGCAAAGACAAUUCUGAAAGGAUUGGUGUGCCUCAAGAAUUUAUGUUGCAGCAAAACAAGUGACUAAAAUUUGCCCGGUUUCUCAGGUCUACAGUUUAAAGGUGGACAAGGAGGAAAAGACUCUUGGAGACAAACCAUGGGCUACUUUCCUGUUCCAAAACCUGCAAGUAGAUUAUACAAUGUUGAAGACACAUUAUGCACGUGUCAAAGGGAUACAAAUAUAUGUUAGUAAUUAUUGACUAGUUGUCAGGUGUUGCAAAUAGAUUUUUACACAACUUUGAUAUAGCAACAAUCUAAGAUUUAUUAAUACUUUUAUGGUAAGUCACAAGAUUAGAUUGUAUGAUUCUUAAUAGCACUUAAUGUGCGUUUAAUCAUCAGCCAAUUUAACACAAUAAUUCAAAGGAAUUUGCUACAAUUGAAACAGUGACUUGGUUAACGGUUUGAGAAUGGCAAGGUUCAUACGAGACUUACUGCAGGGUAUUGGGAGGGGGAGGUCUAAAGUCAGUUAGGUGCUUACAGUCUUCCUCGCUUUUUGGUAAAUUACUCACUCUUCUCCCUCAUUGGCAUUUGUCAGCAGGCAAGCCUUGACCCUCAAGGAGUCAGCCCUGAGAGACAUCACACCUCAGAAGUGUCCCAGCUUAGGGAAACUGAGGGUCACAUCCUGCUGUGAUUCCUGGAGAGCUCCGUCAUUUCUCCACGGGGGAUUUCUAUGGGUACCUGCUUUAAGGCAGUACCCUCUUUGUUCAUGGUCAUGGUGUUGAGCAUGCACUUGGUGCUCUGUUAUUGAUGUGCUGUCUGGUUCAAGGAAUGGGCACAUCAAGGCCUUCUGUGGCUCAUAAACCCAAGGAAGACUUAUGUCAAGUGCAGGAGAAGAGCAUACCUGCCACAACAGGAUGGCCCAAAGCACUCACCUUUAUGGAAUGCAGAGGCAGGCAGUAUAAUGAGGUUCUUAUUAAAAGACAUGGUGACCAGGCUUGGAAUUCCAGAAAAGGUUGAUUCAAACCAGGGGAGCCAUUUCACAGCUCAGGUUUUAAAAAGGUGAUAUGAAACAUUAGGCGUCACCUAAUACCUGUAUACCCCAUAUCAACCACCAUCAUCAAGGAAAGUUGAAUGAAUGAAUCAGAGCUUGAAAAAUACUGUAUUUAAUACUUGUGCAGAAACCGAUCUGAAGAAGACAGAUGCCUUAACAAUCACUUUAAUGCAUACAAAGCAGAGGCCAAAAGAGAUAGGAUUAAUGCCAGCUGGGGUAUUAUUUGGGAGAUAUUUUCAGAUUCCAAAUACUUAUGUAGCUGCAAAGACUGUCUUACUGGGAGGGGAUGAAAGGUUGAGUCAGUAUGUGUUAGAGAUCCACAAAUACAUAAAAUCUUCACAAUACUAAGCUCAACUAUAGCAACCACUGUCUUUAGAAGGGAAAAUGCAGCCCUAUGAACAAGAAGAUUACAUAAAAAGAAAAAUCAGUUAAGCCCAAGGUGGGAAUGGCUUUCUUUCGGGGGGUAUUGUUGACUUCUUUUUCAUCAGUACUUGUAAGAGGGAAAAACCCUGGGAUGCACUGUUCUCAUGUGAAAUUUUCCAGGGCUGAAGAAGUCAAAAUUCCCUUGAAAAUUAUAUAG